UACGAAGGACCCAAGCGUUAUCCGGAUUUAUUGGGUUUAAAGGGUGCGUAGGCGGGUUAUUAAGUCAGUGGUGAAAGCCUUCAGCUUAACUGGAGAAUUGCCAUUGAUACUGAUGAUCUUGAGUAUGAUUGAGGUGGGCGGAAUGUGUCAUGUAGCGGUGAAAUGCUUAGAUAUGACACAGAACACCGAUUGCGAAGGCAGCUCACUAAGCCAUAACUGACGCUGAUGCACGAAAGCGUGGGGAUCAAACAGG
rnacentral:rRNA from 1 species